rfam:Heterocephalus glaber contig130075, whole genome shotgun sequence.
AGAUGUGAGGGCGAUCUGGCGGCAACAUCUGUCACCCCAUUGAUCGCCAGGGUUGCUUCGGCUGAUCUGGCUGCCCAGGCCAGUGUCCCCUUCCUCCCUCACCGUUCCAUGUGUGUCCCUCCUGAAGCUGCGCACUGGGUCAAAGAGGAGGACGGCUUCCUCGGUCAAGGGUGUACAAGUAGCUGUGCUCCCCUUCGAGAACCUCCAAACAAGCUCUCAAGGUUCUCGAUGUCAAGCCAUGGGAAGAGAGACGGGCGGGUGGGCUGGCAAAGCUGG